rnacentral:rRNA from 1 species
UACGUAGGGUCCAAGCGUUAUCCGGAAUCACUGGGCGUAAAGCGUGCGUAGGUGGUAAUUUGCGUGCAGUGCGAAAUUGUGUGGCUCAACCAUACAACGGUACUGCAUACGGGGAUUACUAGAGGACAUGAGAGGCAAGUGGAAUUACUGGUGUAGCAGUGAAAAUGCGUAGAUAUCAGUAGGAACACCAAUGCGAAAGGCAGCUUCUGGCAUGUAUCUGACGCUAAGGCACGAAAGCGUGGGGGGAGCGAACAGGG